UACAGAGGUGGCAAGCGUUGUUCGGAUUUAUUGGGCGUAAAGGGUUCGUAGGCGGACCGGAAAGUCAGAUGUGAAAUCCCACAGCUCAACUGUGGAACUGCAUUUGAAACUUCCGGACUAGAGUGUGAGAGGGGGUAAAGGGAAUUCCCGGUGUAAGGGUGAAAUCUGCAGAGAUCGGGAGGAACACCAGUGGCGAAGGCGACUACCUGGCCUGUUCUUGACGCUGAGGCGCGAAAGCUAGGGGAGCAAACGGG
rnacentral:rRNA from 1 species